AGCUUUAAUAAUCCACGUUGCUUGAUACGGUACGCAAUGUACUUUUAGUUUAGCAUGGUCCAUAGACAGUUGACAGCCUAGUAGUUGACAAAGGUGAAGUGGCGUCAAAGUAGCAUCCGGCGGACGACCACAGGCGUCCCUGCCUUGCUUUUCGAAUGCAUCGGCGCGAACGGUGCGUGCUCUGCCUGUGCAACCUCGGCCGGCAGGAUUCUGAAGAUGUCAAACAACAAGGACGCGCGAGGCGUGGUUCGUGAUAUAUGCAAAUCUUGUGACUGCUUGGAAUUCUAUCGAAACGACUGCGGUGCCCCUCUCAUGCCCGGAUGGUGCGCUUACUGCGGGCAUUUGCCAACGGAGCAUGCCGCGCUUGACCUACUUGGUGAAGGUAAUCCAAAUGCAAGCGGCGUGCAGCCAUCUUUCCGGACUUGCCACAAAUCGGGGGCGGAGCUGGCCCUGAAUCAGGUGUAGCAUCGGCAGACAAGCCCAGCACUGAGUACACCCAGCAAGCCACCGGAAAUUCUACUUCCCAGACAGAAGGGACUACAUCAGCUACCCAGGCUACAAGCAUGCCAACCACGCCAUUUUCAAUUUUCAAGCGCGUCGUAGCCAGUCUUCGCUGUUUUCGUCUUCUUUUGUUUUGUGGUGUAACAUCACCGGAUGUGGCAAAGGGUUUGCCACCUAUUCUUGUCUUCGUACUCCAUGAUACCUACCUGUCCUCGACAUUGCUGUGAUAUGGAGAUUUCUUGUGUUUCGUACACUGGCCCAGUUGAGAAGUAUGAACUGCUAGUCAUUAUGGAGCCGCUCACUUUCGUUUAACUACUAGCGCAACUUGUUGGUCGUAUUUUUCUCCAAUGUUAUUGUUUUAACGGUGACGGGUAUGAACUGCUGGUCAUUGUGGAGCACCUCACUUUUGCUUUAACACAUUUUUGUUUUAACUUUUAACGAGGCUGCUUGGUCUUAUUUUUCUCCAAUGUUAUUAUUUUACUGUUGACAACUAUCAACUCCCGGUGAUUAUGGACCAGCUUACUUUAGUUUAACCGUUUGCACAGCUUCCGGGUGGUAUUUUUCUCCAAUGUUGUUUUACUGUGUGCAAUAUUUGAUUGUCUCAGCCUGUCUUACAUUUAUUGCGUACGGUGCACAUUUCGAGAAGUAAAGUUGUCAUGCAUCUUCU